rnacentral:rRNA from 1 species
AGCUCGUAGUUGGAUUUCUGUGGGGGCGGAGCGGCCGGCCGCAACUUGCGGUUCGAGCUAGCGCUUCCCCUACAUCCUGCCGCGAACCGUGCUACCAUUAGUUUGGUGGCGCCGGGGAUCGGCUCGUUUACUUUGAGAAAAAUAGAGUGUUCAAAGCAGGCCACACGCCUUGAAUAAGUUAGCAUGGAAUAAUAAUAAAGGACUUCGGUUCUAUUUUGUUGGUGUUCGGGACUGAAGUAAUGAUUGAUAGGGACAGUUGGGGCGGUCAGUAUUCCAAAGCGAGAGGUGAAAUUCUUAGACCUUCGGAAGACUAACAGCUGCGAAAGCGUUCCGCAAGGAUGUUCCCUUUGAUCAAGAACGAAAGUUGGGGGAUCGAAGACGAUCAGAUACCGUCGUAGUCUCAACUAUAAACUAUACCAGCUAGGGAUCGGCCAACGUUAAAUUAUUCGACUUGGUCGGCACCUUAUGAGAAAUCAAAGCAUCUGGGUUCCGGGGGGAGUAUGGUCGCAAGGCUGAAACUUAAAGGAAUUGACGGAAGAGCACCACCAGCCGUGGAGCCUGUGGCUUAAUUUGACUCAACACGGGAAAACUUACCAGGUCCAGACACAGUAAGGAUUGACAGAUUGAUAGCCCUUUCUUGAUUCUGUGGGUGGUGGUGCAUGGCCGUUCUUAGUUGGUGGAGUGAUUUGUCUGGUUAAUUCCGUUAACGAACGAGACCCCAGCCUGCUAAAUAGCGCGGUUGAGCUUUGCUCGGCGCGAGCUUCUUAGAGGGACUAUGAUGCGCGAUAGCACAUGGAAGUUUGGGGCAAUAACAGGUCUGUGAUGCCCUUAGAUGUUCUGGGCCGCACACGGGCUACACUGGCGCCUGCAACGAGCAUAUCAGCUGGCCCGAGAGGGUCUUGGCUAAUCUUUUGAACCGGCGCCGUGCUUGGGAUUGACCAUUGCAAUUGUUGGUCAUGCAACGAGGAAUGCCUUGUAAACGCGAGUCAUCAACUCGCAUUGAAUACGUCCCUGCCCUUUGUACACACCGCCCGUCGCUCCUACCGAUGAAUGUUCCGAUGAAAUUUCCG